rnacentral:rRNA from 1 species
UACGAAGGGGGCUAGCGUUGUUCGGAUUUACUGGGCGUAAAGCGCACGUAGGCGGAUUGUUAAGUCAGGGGUGAAAUCCUGGAGCUCAACUCCAGAACUGCCUUUGAUACUGGCAAUCUUGAGUCCGGAAGAGGUGAGUGGAACUCCUAGUGUAGAGGUGGAAUUCGUAGAUAUUAGGAAGACCACCAGUGGCGAAGGCGGCUCACUGGUCCGGUACUGACGCUGAGGUGCGAAAGCGUGGGGAGCAAACAGG